AUGUACAGAAUUGACCUCUCUACAGAUUUAUUAUAAGUAUAGAUAUCUGCAUCUUUGUUAAUAAAACAGGAAUUACUUAAUACUAAAUCGCAACCAUCACGUAAAACUUAUUUAAAUUAUACUCGUAGUAUUUAUUUAUUUAUUUAUUUAAGGCUCAU